GCAAAAGCAGUAUUAUGUAAAGUGCUUGUUGGUUGGAACUGAAAAUGUAUUUAUUUUUUAGAUGCUCAUUGGGUUGACUUGGCAUGACUCUGGUGGGAUGUAGAUGAAGUCUUCAUUCAGGUUUUCAGAAUCUUCUGCAAAAACCUGCUGCUGGGACCCUGAGAAGAAAGGGACACUCAAACACAGAGAAGAAUCAGCUCCUGUUGAAUUUCCAGAAAGUCAGUCACUGUCCUCCAUCACAAAGACUGAAGGAGGUGCUCCUUUCAUUUUGUAAUUCUCCUUUGCCUCAGGUAAGAACUUCCAGGACUAUCCCUUCUGUGCAUUUGGGAAGAUGAGGAGGGCAGGAGUUCUGCAGGGGUUGGGAAAUGAAGAAGACUUGGAUUGUACUGUUCUAGUUUCUCCUGUUCUAAUGCUGCAGGGGGGACUUACUUGGAAAGGGAGAUGAAAAAUUCCCCUGCUCAAAUGAGAAGAAAUGCAGAUAUAGUAAAUGUAUUUCUAUGUGACUGCCAAGACCUUUGCCCUUUCUUUGAAAUCACCAUCCCCCCAGCUUCAACUCUUGCUGUAGGGAUUAGGUGUCCAUGACUGUACUAGGUGACCCCACCCUCAGCAUCCUUUUGACUAUAGCAGAAUGGAUCAGAGUUCACACCUGGUCCAAGUUGAGUCAAAAUCUUUUUUUUUUUUUCUUAGAAAUUUCUAAUUGGUAUCCAAAGUUGAUAGAAUUCAAUUAGGGAAACCAGAGGCUGUCUGAAUCAACUCCAAAACUGGGGGGUUGCUGGGCUUUUUCAGGAUGUUUGUAUGAAGGUGAGGGCAGGCCAGAGCCAUUUAUGGCCAGGCAUUCUGAGUUUGAAUUCCACCUCUGCCAUUUAUUCAGUGUGUAACUUUGGGCACAUUAAUCUUCCCCAAGGUUGUUUCCAAGUAAGAAAGAUUCAGUUAAGAGUGCUUACCCUGCAGCACUGAUGGGAAGAUUAAAUGAGGUAAAUGAUGUGAAAUCAAUAUGGUUGGUUGGUUGUGGGCAAUGUUUUUGUAAUGAAAUUGAAUAAAAUAGAAAAUAUCAGGCUAUGAUAUGACA
rnacentral:lncRNA from 1 species